AACGAACGCUGGCGGCAUGCCUAACACAUGCAAGUCGAACGAGACCUUCGGGUCUAGUGGCGCACGGGUGCGUAACGCGUGGGAACCUGCCCUUAGGUUCGGAAUAACUCCCCGACAGGGGUGCUAAUACCGGAUAAUGUCUUCGGACCAAAGAUUUAUCGCCUUUGGUUGGGCCCGCGUUGGAUUAGCUAGUUGGUAGGGUAAAAGCCUACCACGGCGACGAUCCAUAGCUGGUCUGAGAGGAUGAUCAGCCACACUGGGACUGAGACACGGCCCAGACUCCUACGGGAGGCAGCAGUGGGGAAUAUUGGACAAUGGGCGAAGGCCUGAUCCAGCAAUGCCGCGUGAGUGAUGAAGGCCUUAGGGUUGUAAAGCUCUUUUAACCGGGAUGAUAAUGACGGUACCGGGAGAAUAAGCUCCGGCUAACUACGUG
rnacentral:rRNA from 1 species